rnacentral:misc_RNA from 1 species
GGAGAGCCUGCUGGAGACCCGGGACGUGAACUGGACGUCGAUCAGGCCGGUGUACAUCUACGGCCCGCUCAACUACAACCCCGUGGAGGAGUGGUUCUUCCACCGGCUCAAGGCUGGCCGCCCCAUCCCUGUCCCCGGUGCCGGCAACCAAAUCACCCAGCUCGGCCAUGUCAAGGACUUGGCGACGGCGUUCGUGCUGGCGCUCGGCAACCCGAAGGCGAGCAAGCAGGUGUUCAACAUCUCCGGCGCCAAGUACGUCACCUUCGACGGUCUAGCACGGGCGUGCGCCAAGGCUGGAGGAUUCCCCGAGCCGGAGAUCGUCCACUACAACCCCAAGGACUUCGAUUUCGGGAAGAAGAAGGCCUUCCCCUUCAGAGACCAGCAUUUCUUCGCGUCAAUCGAGAAGGCGACCUUGGAGCUCGGGUGGAAGCCGGAGUACGACCUGGUGGAGGGCCUCACCGACUCGUACAACCUCGACUUCGGCCGCGGCACGUUCAGGAAGGCGGCCGACUUCACCACCGACGACAUGAUCCUCGGCAAGAAGCUCGUCAGCGUCUGAGCUCGCCGCCGUCCUUUCCGGACAGCGGACGGAUUGCUUGCUGCGCGACGCGAGCGGCUGACCGGCCGGGCCGCCAUGGCCGGUGGGCAGGAGCAAGCGGAGACGGUUUCAGUUUUGUUAUCAACGCUGGUUUGGUACAAUAUGGAUAGUUGGAUACACGC